UACAGAGGGGGCAAGCGUUGUUCGGAAUUACUGGGCGUAAAGGGCGCGUAGGCGGCCUGCUAAGUCGAACGUGAAAUCCCCGAGCUCAACUCGGGAACUGCGUCCGAUACUGGCAGGCUUGAAUCCGGGAGAGGGAUGCGGAAUUCCAGGUGUAGCGGUGAAAUGCGUAGAUAUCUGGAGGAACACCGGUGGCGAAGGCGGCAUCCUGGACCAACACUGACGCUGAGUGAGCGAAAGCCAGGGGAGCAAACGGG
rnacentral:rRNA from 1 species